CCAAGGAACCUUGCAAGCCAAUCCUAAUCCCGGUCAAUUGCCUAAUAAAGAAGGUGAAUGGAUCACUAUCAAUUAUGUCAAUUAUUUCACCCUAUCAGGUGGUGGAGUUUUUGAUGGUCAAGGACAAGAAGCCUGGAAGCAAAACGAUUGCCACAAAAAUAGAAAUUGUGCCAAGCUUCCCAUGAAUCUUAGCUUCAAUUUCGUCAACAACUCCAUAAUUCGUGAUGUGACCACAAAAGAUAGCAAGAAUUUCCACGUGAAUUGUAUAUCGAGCCAUAAUGU